rnacentral:lncRNA from 1 species
AUGAAGUGGAUGAUAAUGAUGACUUGAUGAGCAGUUGUGAAUGCAUAAAUUAUAUGGAGACACUAAGGACUGCAACAGACAAGAAGAUCUCAGUGACAAACGGGUUAUUUAGGGCAGCAGCCAACUGACUCCCACAAUGAGUGGGAUCUGGACAAGAAGGCGUGGUUUCCCAAGGCCACUGAAGGUUUCAUUGCUACAUACCCAGCCAAGUGUGGCUUUUCUAAUGGUGGGGCAUCUAGCUCUCCUGCAAAUGUACAAAAUGUCAAUGCUAGGAAUGCAGAAUUUCUGCAAAGAAAACCCCCCAAACCCACUGAUCCUAAAAACAGGGGAGAUAAAAGAAAAAUGGAAUGAGGAUAAUUUCAUGUUGAAGAAGACAGAAAUACAAAUGUCUAUAUAUCUGGUUUGCCUCCAGGAGAAAUCCUCAGAAGACUUCAAAGUCAAGCUUUAUGAAGAUGAUCAAAGAAAUCUUAAAGGAGAUGCGCUUUGCUGUUACUUGAAGAGGGAAUCUGUGGGCCUUCCAUUAAAGCUUUUGGAUGAAAAUGAAAUUAGAGGCCUCAAAAAAAAAAAAAAAAAAAAAAAAAAGAGGUUACAAGAAGAAGCUGUCACUACAACAAAAGCUGUUGGUCUGGGGAUCUGCAAGGGAGCUGGGCCAUCCAGAAGGUACCAUAAGCAAGUUGUCAUAAUCAAACAUAUGUUUCAUCCUAUGGAUUUUAAGGAUGAUGAGUUGGUGCUAAAUGAGCUCAGAGAACUUUCAGUGCUCAACAUUGAGACCAAUGAGGAAUGUUUUGUUUGACAGACUCAUGGAUGGUGUGGACUCUGUGUUCUGGAGGAAUGCAGAGGAAACGGAUUAUUAUAUUCAAGUCCUCCUUGGAAGGUGGUUUGUUGACCCAGACAUGGAAUAAGGUUACAGACUAUUAGGUUCAGGGGACCUCAGGAAAAAGGAGGAAAAUCUAAGGGGAUGGGAGGCUUUCCUCAGUGCCUGUGAGGCCAACAGA